CUGCAAAGGUAGCAUAAUCAUUAGUUUUUUAAUUGAAAACUUGUAUGAAUGGCUAGACAAAAGAAGUUCUGUCUUCUUUAUUAAACUUGAAGUUAACUUUUAAGUGAAAAGGCUUAAAUUUUUUAAGGGGACGAUAAGACCCUAUAAAGCUUUAUAAUGAAAUAUUAUUUCUUGAAAUAGUUUAUAAAAUAGAAUAAUAAUAAUCUUAUUUUGUUGGGGUGACACUGAUAUAAAUAUAUUUAACUGUCAGAAGAAGAACACAUAAAUUUAUGAAUAAAUAUAUUGAUCCUAAUUAAAGAUUAAAAGACUAAGUUACUUUAGGGAUAACAGCGUUAUUUCUUUUGAGAGUUCUUAUCGAAAAAGAAGUUUGCGACCUCGAUGUUGAAUUAAAGAAUCUUCACAAUGCAGCUGUUGUGAGAAGAGGGUCUGUUC
rnacentral:rRNA from 1 species